UACGGAGGGAGCUAGCGUUGUUCGGAAUUACUGGGCGUAAAGCGCGCGUAGGCGGCUUUGUAAGUUAGAGGUGAAAGCCCGGGGCUCAACCCCGGAAUUGCCUUUAAGACUGCAUCGCUUGAAUCCGGGAGAGGUGAGUGGAAUUCCGAGUGUAGAGGUGAAAUUCGUAGAUAUUCGGAAGAACACCAGUGGCGAAGGCGGCUCACUGGACCGGCAUUGACGCUGAGGCACGAAAGCGUGGGUAGCAAACAGG
rnacentral:rRNA from 1 species